CUACAGAAAAAACGUUGUUUAUCCCUUACAGUCUUACUUCCCAAAAUUGAACUUUCAGUAACUCGAUUGCCUUCUGACAACAGCUAUUACAGAAGAAAGUACAUGUAAACUUGGAAGAUUCACAUGUAUUUAAGAACAGUGGAAGAUAAUGGGAUUGAUUCUUAUAAGGAACAGAUUUGUAAUUAUAUUCUUAAGAGAUUGAAUGGCAAAAUCCAGUUUGAAAGUAGUCAUGGAAAAGAAAAGACAACCUUAUACAUAUUACAUGAUGGUCUAUUUCACGGGAAAGAACAGGGAGCAUUGGAAAUGUGCAAUUAAAAAACAGUCUUUGGUUGACUGCAAAAUUUUGACAUGAUACAAAACAGGAUAGAUCAAGUUCUUGAACUGGAGUUGUUAAACUGGAGUCACAAUAGGAAAACCUACAAAUAAACCAAUUACUCAACUUUUUGUAUGUAACACCAGCAAGGAGUUGAGUACAGGAGUAUUUCAACAGAGGUAGGACAUGUGACUUUUUAAGUUGCUUAAGUGAUUUACUGAAAUAUAUGCUGAAACACUUAGACUGUAACAGAAAGCUGGAUGCUCAAAUUAAUUUAAUGAUAUACAUUUGUAUAGACAGUAACAAUGUCAUCUGUCAGUAACCAAAUACUUCAUGUUCAAAUUUAUAGACUGAAACUAAGGUCAGCAACAGAGCAAAUAGAUAGAAAUUCAAGAUGGACUAUCUUCAUAGGAACAGAAAACUUUGUGUCCAGGUUGAUUAACUGUAAUCUAAGCAGAAAAAAAAACAUUAACAAAAUGCUGUGUGUCCAGAACAGCUUUGCUUUGUAACAGAACACUGAAAUUUAUAAACUGAAAGCUAGGAUAGAACAUUUCAAGAGUAAGAGACAUUCAAAGUAAUCAUUAACAUUUAAUGAGGUACAUUUUAUCAGUAUUACUACACUAGGUGUUCAAGCCGAUGUACUUAAAUCUAGGAUGGAAACUGUAAGCUAGGAGAGAACAUUUCAAGAGUAACGGACAUUCAAAGUAAUAAAUAAAGUUUAAUGAGGUACAUUUAAUCCGUAAUACUACUCUAAGUGUUCAAGCUGAUGUACUUAAAUCUAGGAUGGAACCAAACUAAAAGCUAGGAGGGGACAAUUCAAGAGUAAUGGACAUUCAAAGUAAUCAAUAAAGUUUAAUGAGGUACACUAUCAGUAUUACUACACUAGGUGUUCAAGCUUAUGUACUUAAAUCUAGGAUGGAAACGGAAAGAUAUGAGGGAACAUUUAUAGAGUAACAGACAUUAAAAAAUAAUCAAUGAAAGUUUCAUGAGGUACAUUUUAUCAGUAACAGUGUCAUGCUGAUGCACUUUAAUAUAGAAUGGAACCAAACUAAAAGCUUGAAGCAAAUAUUUCAAGAGUACAUGUAAUAGACACUCAAUGUAAUCAUCUAAAAUGUGUUGCGGAAUAUGUAAAAUCUGAAAUCUUAUUAGGAAUUUUUCAUUAGUUAAAUAUUCAUUUGGGAUAAACUGGCAACAAGAUGGAACAAUUGUGACUGAAAACAAGUAUCUGAAAAUAGAAGAAAACAGGGAACAGGAACAAUUUUGGAAAAAAAGCUAUAUUGUGAUUGACUUUAACAGGUGCAAUAAUUCCUUUUUAUAAAGAAGAAGAGAAAAGGUAGGAUUGUUCAGAUUUAUAAAAAAAAUGGGGCAAUGAAAUGAUGACCUCCAUAUUCUGUACUUGUUAGAUUGUUACUGCAUGCUCUAAGUUAAGUUGAGGAUCCGAAAUAUUUGCAAAAAGAAGUUGAUUUAAAUGAGCUAAAAAAAUUAAAGAUUCCAAAGCCAAACAAAAGAAAACAACAAAAAAACUCAAUUGUAUUUAAAUUAUAGAAAGUAUGAAAAAUUCUUCAGAUUUGCAAAAAUUUCUGAUUCAAUUUUUAGUUUAUUGUAUACAUGUAUUUCCAAUUUUGUCAAAAGUAACAUUCUGGUUUUUUUUUUAUAAAACUAUCUGUUAUUGAAGUAAGUGAGACUGUAACUACCCUCUAUAUAUGACACAAAUAUUGUAUAAAGGUGAUGAAGUACUAAUGGAGAAUGAUAUCAUAACCAGAUUUUGGAACAGUUUUUAAUGAAAAUAUUGCAGAACUUUUUAUUCAUUAAUCAAUUUUUAAUGAGUGCAAGUCUUGAUAACAUCUCAUUAAUCAUGGUGUGAUGUGGUUGAGAAUAAAAGAUAAAUUAAUUGAUAGAUUAAAUUUCUUACUUGAAUCUCACUUAAUAAUUUGGUGCUGAAUCUUAAACACUAUCAUAUAUAUCUACUGGUCAUGGUAUUCUAGAUGGCACACAUCCUUACACAAGUGCUCAUUGUAUAAUGUACACCACACAACCAUGAACAGUCCCUAUUUUUAUCUCAUGUACUUUUGCAAGGUACUUGCAGGUUGUGCAAUGUCAAGGAAGUUUAAUAGUAACAUGCACUUCCAGCAAGUGGUUCGCACGUUUUCAGGACAGUAGUAACCUGUCUCUUCUAAAUAUAUCUGCCAAUAGACUGUGACUUACUGCAGUUCUUAAGUCCAGGUGGUGGUACUGUUUCUUCUUUGUUACCAAAGCUGACUUUCUGGUAUAAAUCAAUGACUACAGUGGCACAUUUCAACACUGUCCCGCCUUUCUCUGUAUAUCAAUCCACAGGCAGGGGAACUCUUUAUACCAAUCAACUUUGAACUCAGGCUUUCUGGUUUCCUUUCCAUACUGGCAUUUUCUCAACUUCAUCAAUUAUAACUUUUUUUGCAGUGGUACAUAAUGAUGACACUAAAAUUAAUAUAGGCCUGUUUCUCAUUAUAAAGACAAAAGGACUUAAAGUGAAUAAUUAUGUUAAAAGUAUUUAGUACACUACAAGACAGCAAACUGUAAAAGAAUGAUAUAUGAAAAGUGUUGGUGAAUUCUUUAUAAUCAUACAUGAUAAAUUGUUAUAGAAAAAACUAUCAUCAUAUAAAUGUUUAUACUUAAUCAACAUUUAAUUUUUCAAAAAUCUAUAAAUCAUAAGAAUAUCCAAAAUUUGGAAGUCAGAGACUACAAGAUAUGAGACAUUGGAAGUCACAUUAUAUAAGAAAAGAAAGAGAAGUAUUAUAGUUUGGAAGUCACAAGCCAAGAUCAAAGAGAAAAUGACUCCAACUCUUCCAUCAACCAAAGCCCUGUAAUAUUAAUAAUGUAGUAUAUUUACUGUAAGUAAAGGCACUACAAGACAUUGUCACUACAAGACAUUGUGAUCAUUUGCACCUUCAUUUGAUAAAUAGGCUCUGUCAGUGGUAACUUUGCAUUUGAGGAAAUUUCCACAGAUGUGACAUUUUAGAACUCUUAGUCAUAGUCAGGCUGUGUGGUAUGCACAUUGUGACAUCCAGUAAAUAUUUCUUGAACUUGGGUUACAACAUUUGUGGGAUUUCCACUGUCCAUUUCUCUAUGUAUAAGUGUUGAUUCAUUUUCCGUGGU